rnacentral:snRNA from 1 species
AUGCUCAGGUCUCAGCACAUAUCUUAAAAUUGGAACUCUGAGAGAUGAGCCUGGCCCUUGCUCAAAGAUGACAUUCAAAUUCGUGAAGCGUUCCAUAUACUU